rnacentral:rRNA from 1 species
AACUAACAAGGAUUCCCCUAGUAACUGCGAGUGAAGAGGGAAAAGCUCAAAUUUAAAAUCUGGCUUCCUUAGGUUGUCCGAGUUGUAAUCUAGAGAAGCGUCAUCCGCGCUGGACCGUGUACAAGUCUCCUGGAACGGAGCGUCAUAGAGGGUGAGAAUCCCGUCUUCGACACGGACUACCGGGGCUUUGUGAUGCGCUCUCAAAGAGUCGAGUUGUUUGGGAAUGCAGCUCAAAAUGGGUGGUAAAUUCCAUCUAAAGCUAAAUAUUGGCGAGAGACCGAUAGCGAACAAGUACCGUGAGGGAAAGAUGAAAAGAACUUUGGAAAGAGAGUUAAACAGUACGUGAAAUUGCUGAAAGGGAAACGCUUGAAGUCAGUCGCGUUGGUCGAGAAUCAGCCUUGCUUUUGCAUGGCUUAUUUCGCGGUUCAACGGGUCAGCAUCAAUUUUGACCAUUGGAUAAAGAUGAGAGGAAUGUAGCAUCUUCGGAUGUGUUAUAGCCUCUUGUUGCAUGCAGUGGUUGGGAUUGAGGAACUCAGCACGCCGCAAGGCCGGGAGCAAUCCACGUUCGUGCUUAGGAUGCUGGCAUAAUGGCUUUAAUCGACCCGUCUUGAAACACGGACCAAGGAGUCUAACAUGCCUGCAAGUGUUUGGGUGUAAAACCCAUGCGCGCAAUGAAAGUGAAAGUUGAGAUCCCUGUCGUGGGGAGCAUCGACGCCCGGACCAGACCUUUUGUGACGGAUCCGCGGUAGAGCAUGUAUGUUGGGACCCGAAAGAUGGUGAACUAUGCCUGAAUAGGGUGAAGCCAGAGGAAACUCUGGUGGAGGCUCGUAGCGAUUCUGACGUGCAAAUCGAUCGUCAAAUUUGGGUAUAGGGGCGAAAGACUAAUCGAA